UGAAGGCAAUAUGUUAAUUUCAUUGGAAGCCGGAAUAUUCGAUAAUCUCUACAGCCUUGAACAAUUAUAUCUGCAAGACAACAAAUUGGUCACCUUGGAAGCCGGGAUAUUUGAUCAUCUCUUCAGUCUUGAAACACUGGAUAUCAGCUCAAACUUUUUAACAUCAAUACCAGUACAACUCUUCAAGAAAUUAUAUUACCUAAU